rnacentral:rRNA from 1 species
CGGUAAUACGUAGGAUGCAAGCGUUAUCCGGAAUUAUUGGGCGUAAAGAGUGUGUAGGUGGUUUGUUAAGUUAAAUGUUAAAUCUUCAGGCUCAACUUGAAGGCUGCAUUUAAUACUGGCAGACUCGAGGUAUGGAGAGGUAAGCGGAAUUAGUAGUGUAGCGGUGAAAUGCGUAGAUAUUACUAAGAACACCAAUGGCGAAGGCAGCUUACUGGCCAUAUUCUGACGCUGAGACACGAAAGCGUGGGGAGCGAACAGGAUUAGAUACCCUGGUAGUCCACGCCGUAAACGAUGAUCACUAGCUGUGCGGGGAGUCGACCCCCUGCGUAGUGAAGCUAACGCGUUAAGUGAUCCGCCUGGGGAGUACGGUCGCAAGGCUAAAACUCAAAGGAAUUGACGGGGACCCGCACAAGCGGUGGAACGUGUGGUUUAAUUCGAUACUAAGCGUAAAACCUUACCGAGACUUGACAUCCCUGGAAAGACCUAGAGAUAGGUCCGUGCCGAAAGGAACCAGAUGACA